rnacentral:rRNA from 1 species
GACGGGGCCCGCACAAGCGGCGGAGCAUGCGGAUUAAUUCGAUGCAACGCGAAGAACCUUACCAAGGCUUGACAUACACCGGUAACGCCCAGAGAUGGGUGCCCCCUUUGGUGGUCGGUGGACAGGUGGUGCAUGGUGUCGUCAGCUCGUGUCGUGAGAUGUUGGGUUAAGUCCCGCAACGAGCGCAACCCUCGUCCUAUGUUGCCAGCGGGUCAUGCCGGGGACUCAUGGGAGACUGCCGGGGUCAACUCGGAGGAAGGUGGGGGAUGACGUCAAAUCAUCAUGCCCCUUAUGUCUUGGGCUUCACGCAUGCUACAAUGGCCGGUACAAAGGGCUGCGAUACCGCGAGGUGGAGCGAAUCCCAGAAAGCCGGUCUCAGUUCGGAUUGGGGUCUGCAACUCGACCCCAUGAAGUCGGAGUCGCUAGUAAUCGCAGAUCAGCAACGCUACGGUGAAUACGUUCCCGGGCCUU